rnacentral:rRNA from 1 species
AGGGAAUCUUCCGCAAUGGACGAAAGUCUGACGGAGCAACGCCGCGUGAGUGAAGAAGGCCUUCGGGUCGUAAAACUCUGUUGCCGGGGAAGAACAAGUGCCGUUCGAAUAGGGCGGCGCCUUGACGGUACCCGGCCAGAAAGCCACGGCUAACUACGUACCAGCAGCCGCGGUAAUACGUAGGUGGCAAGCGUUGUCCGGAAUUAUUGGGCGUAAAGCGCGCGCAGGCGGCUUCUUAAGUCUGAUGUGAAAUCUUGCGGCUCAACCGCAAGCGGUCAUUGGAAACUGGGAGGCUUGAGUGCAGAAGAGGAGAGUGGAAUUCCACGUGUAGCGGUGAAAUGCGUAGCGAUGUGGAGGAACACCAGUGGCGAAGGCGACUCUCUGGGCUGUAACUGACGCUGAGGCGCGAAAGCGUGGGGAGCAAAC